UUGAGAUAAAAUAAGAUCCCUUUUAAACCUUCCCUUGAAUCUUGAGCUAAAGCCAGACUGCUUGUUUCCUGAGAUCCCUUUUCCUCCCCAGUCCUUUACAGUCCUCCUCCCCUGCCCAUCCCCACCAUGCUCCAGCCCCUGUCUGGCCUUGUUUAAGAGUCAGUUUCAAUAGUACCUUUGUUAAGGGAGAAAUCUCAUUAAAUGUGAGGUAAGAGGAAAUGAAAAAGUGUAAAAUAUCCAGAUUUAUUACCUGUUGUCUUCUGAGCAUUUGAAAAUCAGGAGCUGGGGGCAAUGGGGUGAGGUAUCAAAGCUCUUUAACAUUGCUGCACUGCUGACUUCUACUCUGAGCUCACUGCUUACUUGUAGCACUUGUUUUAUUGCAAGGAAGAUGAUAUGAGUUUUGUGCUCUUUAGGAUAAAGAAGAAUUGGCCCUAAUGCGCACAAGCACUGACUUGGAGCUCCGUUAGCCCAUAUGCAUGCAGGAUGCACUGAGCACUGGGAGAGCAACAUCGCAUCCUCCUUUGGGUGGUGUUUGGAAUAACCCAUCCCCAGUGGUUCCCCUGAGCUGCUGCCAUCCCAUUCCUCCCAUGGCAGCAUUGGAGUGAUGCUGUGAUUGCUUCAGCAAAAAGAAUGCAGCUCUACUAAUGGAAACUCCGCUUCCUUGUACCUCAACGCCACAUGUUUGAUCAUUGAAGGGCAAGAAAAUAUAUGUUGCCUUGUAGCUGCGGAUAUCAAAUUCCAAUGUAAAACCCAAGGAAAAACAUGAAGGCUGUGGAGAGCUGGAUGUGGGCUUAACUCUGCGCUGGCCAUGGAGUGGAGGCAAUCCCAAGGGUCCCAACAGUGCCAGCACCCUGAGAACAGAUGGGCAGGCAGACAAACAGACAAGCAGGCAGACAGAUGGACACAGGAUGGAUACCAGCACACAGCUCCUCUCCUCCUCCUGCACACUGAGCAGGCAGCUCACGCCCAGCUGUAGUCUGUGAGGCUUUUUAUGAAACAGUAUUUUAUUAAAUAAACAAACUGGAGCAAUUCCAACAGAUUUACGAACACUUCCUCUCCUCUCACUUGUUCGACCCAUUGCAGAUUUAUGGUUCUGCGUUAACCUCAUGAGCACUCAUAAAGUUUACUAAGAUAAUGCUGGCAGGAGGGAGAAGGGAUUUUUAUGGGUAAGUAAUAAUUACAA